GGUGGAGCGAUUUGUCUGGUUAAUUCCGAUAACGAACGAGACUCUGGCCUAUUAAAUAGACGGUAUAUUUAAAAGUAUAUCGCGCUUCUUAGAGGGACAAGCGGCGUCUAGCCGCAUGAAAUAGAGCAAUAACAGGUCUGUGAUGCCCUUAGAUGUCCGGGGCUGCACGCGCGCUACACUGAAAGAAUCAGUGGGCGUGAUACCUAGUUCGGAAGGACCGGGUAACCCAAGUAAAUUCUUUCGUGCUUGGGAUAGGGAAUUGCAAUUAUUUCCCUUAAACGAGGAAUUCCCAGUAAAUGCGGGUCAUAAGCUCGCGUUGAAUACGUCCCUGCCCUUUGUAC
rnacentral:rRNA from 1 species